UGAUCACACUGACUGAACAAACAGUCAAAGGUGCUGCCGCAGAUAAGCGCUGGUACAAUUGAUCCCUGGCUUUCCGUGCCUGAUUUGAACUUUCAGGACACAUUGUUGGCGCAGCUUAGCACUUUAAUGUGAUGCUUGCCAACAGCAAGGAAUUCUUCGGCUCACAGGUAGAAUCACAUCGUGGUUUUCGGGGGGAGGGGAGGUACGGAAAUGAAAUAAAACCCUCUGGAAUAUUAUUUACUUUAGUGUGUAUAAGCUGCCUUAUACCUGAAGGAACGUCUCCACCCCCAUCGUCCAGCCCAGACACAGAGGUCCAGCUCCGAAGGCCUUCUGGCAGUUCCUUCACUGCAAGAAGUGAAGCUACAGGGAACCAGGAGAAAAACCAUUUAAGAAGAAAAAGGCACUAGAACAUUAUUCCUCAGCCCAUGCAAAUGGCAAUUCUGGGUAUAAUCCAUGUGUGGCAGAAGGUAGCAGUUUCACAUCAGCUGCCCCUGGCCUCUGACCUCCACAUACCAAGAUCUUGCUAGUGAGCCUGAGUCUGCUGCCCUGCUCCUCACACUGAUCACCCCCAGAAUUACUUAAUGCAACUUGUGUCCAGGAUAUCUUCAGGACUGCCCGGAUCCCUUAUAUCUGUCAUGGGUCAGGAGUCAGCUUCGCCUGCUGAACAGCAGCCUGAAGGGGAGAAGGCAGAGUGACUCCACCUGGAGCUGAUCAGCCUUCAAGGCACUGAUGAGAAGAACCAGCUGGCUUCAGCCUUCUUAAGCAGCGCUUCCAGCAGCAGCCAAUUGCUGGCAACAAGGCUUGUAGUUCCUGGUCCUACCUUGCUGCUUCCUGCUCAUCUUGACCCUUCACCUUAUGAUCAUCAGGUUCCCUGACUCCUGGACCCCCUGACCACGUGGAUUGCUGUUCGCCCAACCCUAGGACUGGACCUGACUUUGGAUGCUGACUCUGCCUCCAAGGGCUGCUACCAAGGACUCAUCAUUGAACCACCGCUGCAAGAAACCUCCUGUGCCCC